ACGAACGCUGGCGGCAUGCCUCACACCUGCCAGUCGAACGCGACCUUCGGGUCUAGUGGCGCACGGGUGCGUCACGCGUGGGAACCUGCCCUUAGGUUCGGAAUAACUCCCCGAAAGGGGUGCUAAUACCGGAUAAUGUCUUCGGACCAAAGAUUUAUCGCCUUUGGAUGGGCCCGCGUUGGAUUAGCUAGUUGGUAGGGUAAAAGCCUACCAAGGCGACGAUCCAUAGCUGGUCUGAGAGGAUGAUCAGCCACACUGGGACUGAGACACGGCCCAGACUCCUACGGGAGGCAGCAGUGGGGAAUAUUGGACAAUGGGCGAAAGCCUGAUCCAGCAAUGCCGCGUGAGUGAUGAAGGCCUUAGGGUUGUAAAGCUCUUUUACCCGGGAUGAUAAUGACAGUACCGGGAGAAUAAGCUCCGGCUAACUCCGUGC
rnacentral:rRNA from 1 species